CGCUGGCGGCGUGCUUAACACAUGCAAGUCGAACGAAGAUAUUUAAAAUGAGAGCUUCGGCAGGAUUUUUAUCUAUCUUAGUGGCGGACGGGUGAGUAACGUGUGGGCAACCUGCCCUGUACUGGGGAAUAAUCAUUGGAAACGAUGACUAAUACCGCAUGUGGUCCUCGGAAGGCAUCUUCUGAGGAAGAAAGGAUUUAUUCGGUACAGGAUGGGCCCGCAUCUGAUUAGCUAGUUGGUGAGAUAACAGCCCACCAAGGCGACGAUCAGUAGCCGACCUGAGAGGGUGAUCGGCCACAUUGGGACUGAGACACGGCCCAAACUCCUACGGGAGGCAGCAGUGGGGAAUGUUGCACAAUGGGCGAAAGCCUGAUGCAGCAACGCCGCGUGAAGGAUGAAGGGUUUCGGCUCGUAAACUUCUAUCAAUAGGGAAGAAAGAAAUGACGGUACCUAAAUAAGAAGCCCCGGCUAACUACGUGCCAGCAGCCGCGGUAAUACGUAGGGGGCAAGCGUUAUCCGGAAUUACUGGGUGUAAAGGGAGCGUAGGCGGCAUGGUAAGCCAGAUGUGAAAGCCUUGGGCUUAACCCGAGGAUUGCAUUUGGAACUAUCAAGCUAGAGUACAGGAGAGGAAAGCGGAAUUCCUAGUGUAGCGGGUGAAAUGGGUAGAUAUUAGGAAGAACACCAGUGGCGAGGGCGGCUUUUUGGACUGAAACUGACGCUGAGGCUCGAAAGCGUGGGGAGCAAACAGGAUUAGAUACCCUGUUAGUCCACGCCGUAAACGAUGAGUGCUAGGUGUCGGGGAGGAAUCCUCGGUGCCGCAGCUAACGCAAUAAGCACUCCACCUGGGGAGUACGACCGCAAGGUUGAAACUCAAAGGAAUUGACGGGGGCCCGCACAAGCGGUGGAGCAUGUGGUUUAAUUCGAAGCAACGCGAAGAACCUUACCAAGGCUUGACAUCCCGAUGACCGUCCUAGAGAUAGGACUUCUCUUCGGAGCAUCGGUGACAGGUGGUGCAUGGUUGUCGUCAGCUCGUGUCGUGAGAUGUUGGGUUAAGUCCCGCAACGAGCGCAACCCUUAUCUUCAGUAGCCAUCAUUCAGUUGGGCACUCUGGAGAGACUGCCGUGGAUAACACGGAGGAAGGUGGGGAUGACGUCAAAUCAUCAUGCCCCCUAUGUCUUGGGCUACACACGUGCUACAAUGGCUGGUAACAAAGUGACGCAAGACGGUGACGUUAAGCAAAUCACAAAAACCCAGUCCCAGUUCGGAUUGUAGUCUGCAACUCGACUACAUGAAGCUGGAAUCGCUAGUAAUCGCGAAUCAGCAUGUCGCGGUGAAUACGUUCCCGGGCCUUGUACACACCGCCCGUCACACCAUGGGAGUUGGAAGCACCCGAAGUCGGUGACCUAACCGUAAGGAAGGAGCCGCCGAAGGUGAAGCCAGUGACUGGGGUGAA
rnacentral:rRNA from 1 species